ACACCUGUGGGGCAGAAGUCGAGCUCGUUCCUCUCGCCGAGUGGUAGCGCGAGCGGGAAAGACCCGGGUGCGAAUCCCGGCGGGUGCU